UACGUAGGGCGCAAGCGUUAUCCGGAAUUAUUGGGCGUAAAGAGCUCGUAGGCGGUUUGUCGCGUCUGCCGUGAAAGUCCGGGGCUCAACUCCGGAUCUGCGGUGGGUACGGGCAGACUAGAGUGAUGUAGGGGGAGACUGGAAUUCCUGGUGUAGCGGUGAAAUGCGCAGAUAUCUGGAGGAACACCGGUGGCGAAGGCGGCAUCCUGGAC
rnacentral:rRNA from 1 species